CAGCCAAACCUGUGUUUUUGUAUGUAAAAUAAACAUUUUAUAAAUUUCAUUAGAAUGAACAAAAUUUAAGGAAAAGACUUUUUUUUUUUUUUCCUGAGAAGACUUACCAAGGCGGCUCCAAGAAAUGAUUGGUUUGGGAUUUCCUGUGGCCAUGCAUUCCAAAACUACAGUCUGAUGAAGAGAUGUUGUUAUGUUCUGUGGACCUGCUAUAAUUGUUGCCUUAAAGGAUCUGUUAGAAACCAGUAUCUCUUGUGAAGAAUAAACAUUUAUGUGAAGUUCAACAAUGUCUUCAGUCCAGGUUUUCUUCUACUACAUUUAAACAAACUUAACCUUUAAAAUAAAAACUAUCAUCUAUUGCAUUUUAA
rnacentral:antisense_RNA from 1 species